UACGUAGGUGGCAAGCGUUGUCCGGAUUUACUGGGCGUAAAGGGCGUGCAGGCGGUUUGUUAAGUGCAGGGUGAAAGCUCCCGGCUCAACUGGGAGAGGUCCUUGCAUACUGGCAAACUCGAGGGAGGCAGAGGAAAGUGGAAUUCCCGGUGUAGUGGUGAUAUGCGUAGAUAUCGGGAGGAACACCUGUGGCGAAAGCGGCGCACUGGACCAUAACUGACGCUGAGGCGCGAAAGCUAGGGGAGCAAACAGG
rnacentral:rRNA from 1 species